AAAUUGAAGAGUUUGAUCAUGGCUCAGAUUGAACGCUGGCGGCAGGCCUAACACAUGCAAGUCGAGCGGUAGCACGGAGAGCUUGCUCUCGGGUGACGAGCGGCGGACGGGUGAGUAAUGUCUGGGAAACUGCCUGAUGGAGGGGGAUAACUACUGGAAACGGUAGCUAAUACCGCAUAACGUCGCAAGACCAAAGUGGGGGACCUUCGGGCCUCAUGCCAUCAGAUGUGCCCAGAUGGGAUUAGCUAGUAGGUGGGGUAAUGGCUCACCUAGGCGACGAUCCCUAGCUGGUCUGAGAGGAUGACCAGCCACACUGGAACUGAGACACGGUCCAGACUCCUACGGGAGGCAGCAGUGGGGAAUAUUGCACAAUGGGCGCAAGCCUGAUGCAGCCAUGCCGCGUGUGUGAAGAAGGCCUUCGGGUUGUAAAGCACUUUCAGCGGGGAGGAAGGCG
rnacentral:rRNA from 1 species